rnacentral:rRNA from 1 species
GACGAACCGUGCGAACGUUAUUCGGAAUCACUGGGCUUAAAGCGCGUGUAGGUGGGGCGGAACGUCGGCCGUUGAAAGCCCCCGGCUUAACCGGGGAAGCGGCGCCGAUACGACCGCCCUCGAGGGACGUAGGGGGAGCUGGAACUUCCGGUGGAGCGGUGAAAUGCGUUGAGAUCGGAAGGAACGCCCGUGGCGAAAGCGAGCUCCUGGACGUUUUCUGACACUGAGACGCGAAAGCCAGGGGAGCGAACGGG